CCUCUUUUGUUCACAUAUUAACUGUAAGCUCAGAGCUGGGAAAUGUAACUUGGCUUAGACUACUGGACAACAGGAAGAUUGUCUGUGUGUGGUAUAAACUGGGGUGUGGCGGGGCCAUUUCUGACUUAAACAGUUCUCAGUAGACACAACUUUCAGAUCGACUCAGAAGUACUUAACUUACUCAGCUGAGCAUGAAUCAGUGGUUGUGGGCAGAAGGAACGACUCAGUAUACCUGCCUUCUCCUACACCACAGUAGCUCUCCAUGAAUUUUGUGCCAGCCAGAAGCAAUCCACCAGCCCAAGGGAUGCUAAAUAUAACAUCGGCAUACUGGCAUAAAGAAGAGAAUUGGUUGCUGACCCAGUUUGAGGAGUCAGGAACCGCCUUGCUACUCACGGGAAGCCUGUGCUGCUGCUGGAGAAAGUGGUGCAAUAGUGUGUGUGAGGGGACCAAUGGGAACCAGACCCCCGGGAGCUGCACAAGGGGGGAACUUAGCCAUAUACAACUUUGAAUAUAGCAGAAGAUUCGCCAUAUACAGAAAAGAAUUUAUCUUCUAUUUUGACAGUAACCUUCUGGAUUUACCCAGAAAAACAAUUGAUACACAUUUUUUUUUUGACAUCAUAGUUUCAGACCCUCCUCAUCUUUCUCCCGAUUGUCUCAGGAAGACACCCGAAACCAUCAAGUUCCUGUCUAACUCAGGGCAAAAUUCUGCUGUGCUAGGAGCCUUCAUGGAAGAUCAGGCAGCUCAGUUCCGGGGUACAAAGAUAUGUGUAAUUGGUAGCUGUUCUACCUAUGACCUUGAAGCAUCACCCCUAGUGAGUUAGCAGGUAACUUUACAUCUACCUAUGAGCUUGAAGUACAUGCCCCUGGGGAGUGGCUGCCAGGGACCCUUAAGGCCUGGGAUGUACAUAUGCGACCAUCUCUUUGCUUCCUCCUGGUUCUGGAUGUUGGGACUGACCAGGAAGAUCUUGGAAGAAGAUCAGCAUGGGACAUAGCUCGGCUUUCUCAGACCCUACGACAAAUACCCAUGUUAUAGGUGCUUGGAUAGAGGAAAUAUUCUACCGAUUCUAAGUCCCACCUUCUUGCGGAUAGACUCAUCACAAUUGUUCUUCACAUGAGAGCUUGCCUGUGGCAGAAAGCUGAGAUUUUUAUCUCCUCACCCUACAUGUGUCCUUGUCAAUGGCUACCAAUGGUCACCUGGCUUUCAUCCUCGGCCGGAUUAGAGGAGCAUGGAGCUUCUUCUUGGCUGAGCUCUUCUGUCUCCGCUUGCCUGCUGUUCGUGAAAACUGUCUUUACCACUGGCUCCCGUACAAGUUUCUGGGGUGCAGUAUAAAUGAAGUGGCAGGGGGCCGUGGGAUGAGCUGUGCUGGAUUCUGUUGACCCAUUUCAACAGUGCUGUGGACCUGUUUCUGGUCUCCGGUGCUGCAUCCACUUGCCAGGUCCACAACCUGCUCUGCAGAUGGGCUCCGCUUGCUUCCAGGGACACUGCUUCCAAAGCUGCCAUUCUGCAAUAUUUCCAUUUUCUGCAGUUUCACAGGAGGCUGGAGAUCUGGCCUGUGAAGUGUGAAGGAAGAAGCUCCCCACCAAAGGUGAUUACAGUUAAGAGAUUACAUGAAUCUCAG